GAACGCCUGUAGCAAUACAGGAGUGGCAGACGGGUGAGUAACACGUGGGAACGUGCCCUUCGGUUCGGAAUAACCCCAGGGAAACUUGGGCUAAUACCGGAUACGUCCGUAAGGAGAAAGAUUCAUCGCCGAGGGAUCGGCCCGCGUCUGAUUAGCUAGUUGGUGAGGUAACGGCUCACCAAGGCGACGAUCAGUAGCUGGUCUGAGAGGAUGAUCAGCCUCACUGGGACUGAGACACGGCCCAGACUCCUACGGGAGGCAGCAGUGGGGAAUAUUGGACAAUGGGCGCAAGCCUGAUCCAGCCAUGCCGCGUGGGUGAUGAAGGCCCUAGGGUUGUAAAGCCCUUUCGGCGGGGAAGAUAAUGACGGUACCCGCAGAAGAAGCCCCGGCUAACUUCGUG
rnacentral:rRNA from 1 species